rnacentral:rRNA from 1 species
GACAAACGCUGGCGGCAUGCCUAACACAUGCAAGUCGAACGGACAGAACAGGGAAGCUUUUCGGAGUGGAACUGGAAAGUUAGUGGCGGAUGGGUGAGUAACGCGUGGACAACCUACCUUGUAAAGGGGAAUAACCUCGAGAAAUCGAAGCUAAUACCCCAUAAUAACCUUGCUUCGCAUGAAGUAAGGAGGCAAGGCGGCCUUAGCGCUGUCGAUACAAGAUGGGUCCGCGUCUGAUUAGCUAGUUGGUGAGGUAAAGGCUCACCAAGGCGACGAUCAGUAGCCGGCCUGAGAGGGUGAACGGCCACAUUGGGACUGAGACACGGCCCAAACUCCUACGGGAGGCAGCAGUGGGGAAUCUUCCGCAAUGGGCGAAAGCCUGACGGAGCAAUGCCGCGUGAGUGAAGAAGGCCUUCGGGUUGUAAAACUCUGUCCUUAUCGAAGAGAGAGUGUUGUAGUAACUGACAAUACUAGGACGGUAGAUGAGGAGGAAGCCCCGGCUAACUAUGUG